rnacentral:rRNA from 1 species
AUUGAACGCUGGCGGCAGGCUUAACACAUGCAAGUCGAGCGGGGAAGGGUAGCUUGCUACCUGACCUAGCGGCGGACGGGUGAGUAAUGCUUAGGAAUCUGCCUAUUAGUGGGGGACAACAUUCCGAAAGGAAUGCUAAUACCGCAUACGCCCUACGGGGGAAAGCAGGGGAUCUUCGGACAUUGCGCUAAUAGAUGAGCCUAAGUCAGAUUAGCUAGUUGGUGGGGUAAAGGCCUACCAAGGCGACGAUCUGUAGCGGGUCUGAGAGGAUGAUCCGCCACACUGGGACUGAGACACGGCCCAGACUCCUACGGGAGGCAGCAGUGGGGAAUAUUGGACAAUGGGCGAAAGCCUGAUCCAGCCAUGCCGCGUGUGUGAAGAAGGCCUUUUGGUUGUAAAGCACUUUAAGCGAGGAGGAGGCUACCGAGAUUAAUACUCUUGGAUAGUGGACGUUACUCGCAGAAUAAGCACCGGCUAACUCUGUGCCAGCCGCCGCUGUAA